rnacentral:rRNA from 1 species
CAAUAGCGUAUAUUAAAGUUGUUGCGGUAAAAAAGCUCGUAGUUGGAUUUCUGUUGAGAGCGGCCGGUCCAUACCAUGUAUGCGUAUCUGGCUUGCUCUCGGCAUCCUCUCGAUAGACGUUACUGCGCUUGAUUGCGUGGUGCGGAUCUCGGGACUUUUACUUUGAGGAAAUUAGAGUGUUCACGGCAGGCUUUCGCCAGAAUACAUUAGCAUGGAAUAAUACUAUAGGAUCUUGGUUCUAUUUUGUUGGUUUCUAGAAUUGAGAUAAUGAUUAAUAGGGACAAUUGGGGGCAUUCGUAUCAACACGUCAGAGGUGGAAUUCUUGGAUUGUGUUGCGACGAACUACUGCGAAAGCAUUUGCCAAGGAUGUUUUCAUUGA